GAAUUGAAUUCUUCAGUGUUGUGUGUUGUUUAUUUUUAAUUCAUUAAUCACAUGCCAGGCCUACAGAGCCUAAUCUCUGAAGGUUUCCCAGGAAAAAUCCCAGGGAGAACAGCUGUGUUCCUGUACUGUGUGUGUGGUUUUGGGGAACAUGAGGGGUUUGUGCAGCCAGGGCUGGGACAGACACUGAGCCUGUGAUGUGCUGUUAUCCCUGUCUGACCCUCAGCUUGAGGAGGAAAGUGUCCACUGAGGCUCACAUGCUUCCCUUAGUGGGUCCCCUGUCCCUUGUGAAGAGUCCACAGGUGUGAGUGGCACCAGAGUGACACAGUUUGUCCCCUGUAGGUGUGAGUGGCACCAGUGUGACACAAUCUGUCCCCUGUAGGUGUGAGUGGCACCAGUGUGACACAGUUUGUCCCCUGUAGGUGUGAGUGGCACCAGAGUGACACAGUCUGUCCCCUGUAGGUGUGAGUGGCACCAGAGUGACACAGUCUGUCCCCUGUAGGUGUGAGUGGCACCAGAGUGACACAGUCUGUCCACUGUAUGUGUGAGUGGCACCAGUGUGACACAGUUUGUCCCCUGUAGGUGUGAGUGGCACCAGUGUGACACAGUCUGUCCCCUUUAGGUGUGAGUGGCACCAGAGUGACACAGUCUGUCCCCUGUAGGUGUGAGUGGCACCAGAGUGACACAGUUUGUCCCCUGUAGGUGUGAGUGGCACCAGUGUGACACAGUCUGUCCCCUGUAGGUGUGAGUGGCACCAGAGUGACACAGUCUGUCCCCUGUAGGUGUGAGUGGCACCAGAGUGACACAGUUUGUCCCCUGUCCUGCCACCCUGUGCCAUGUGGCAGCUCCAGGUGCAGUCCCAGGCCCAGCUGCAGAGCUGCUGUUGUCAUAGCACAGUUUAGAGCUGCAAAAAGCUUUCAAGUUCCUUGUGCAAACAUUGACAAGUUGAAGGGCAGAUAAGAAAGGCAUUUUUUAUCUCCCCUGCUGUACAGUCACUGAACACACAGGCUGGAACAGCACUUUGUCUUGGGCAGCUGACAGCUGCCUUCUGCUAAAUGAUUUUAUGCUUUAUUGAGCAGAAUUUGGUUUUGUUUGCAGAAGGUCAAUAACAGCUUCUGACAGGCCGGCAGGGCUGGUGACAGGGAUGUCAUUGGGGCUGUGAAAGGGGAGGGAAUGGCACCACAAAUGAGGCAUUGGGAUGCUCUGACAGCACACCUGUCUCCCAGACAGCAUCAGGCACUGGGACAAGCAAGCACCUGGAGCUUUUGACUUCCAAAGGAAAAGAAAGAGGAGAGGCAGCCUGAGGAUAAAUGGGACAAGUAAAAGCUACUCAGUGCUUUGAGAUCAGAAGGGCAGGGAUUGUUUCAGAAUGGACUUUUUUAGGAAAACAGUUA